rnacentral:lncRNA from 1 species
CCUGGGCAAUGUGUGUGUAUUUGAGAGCGAGUUAAAAUCUUCAAUUUUUUAAAAAAAGGUUUUGAACCAAGAAAAAUAUCUAAAACUAAAAUCUUUGAAAGAAAAAAAAAUUAAAUAAAUAUUAAAUAAUAUAAUGGCUAAUCCUUCUGACCUCAAGAUUCACCGGUAGAGGUUGGCCUCUUCUCAUGCCAAGAUUCACCGGUAGAGGUUGGCCACCGUAAGCCACCGGUUUGAAAGAGGCUGCCCAUGCCAAGAUUCACCGGUAGAGGUGGGCCACCGUAAGCCACCGGUUCGAAAGAGGCUGCCCAUACCAAGAUUCACCGGUAGAG